UCCGUGCCAGCAGCCGCGGUAAUACGGAGGGUGCAAGCGUUGUCCGGAUUUAUUGGGUUUAAAGGGUACGUAGGUGGCCUUAUAAGUCAGUGGUGAAAUGCUGCAGCUUAACUGUAGCACUGCCAUUGAUACUGUAGGGCUUGAGUGUCGUUGAGGCAGGCGGAAUUUAUGGUGUAGCGGUGAAAUGCAUAGAUACCAUAAAGAACACCGAUAGCGAAGGCAGCUUGCUAAGCGACAACUGACACUAAUGUACGAAAGCGUGGGUAGCGAACAGGAUUAGAUACCCUGGUAGUCCACGCCGUAAACGAUGAUUACUCGCUGCUAGCGAUACACUGUUAGUGGCCAAGCGAAAGCGUUAAGUAAUCCACCUGGGGAGUACGCUCGCAAGAGUGAAACUCAAAGGAAUUGACGGGGUCCCGCACAAGCGGUGGAGCAUGUGGUUUAAUUCGACGCAACGCGAAGAACCUUACCUGGCCUUGACAUGCAGAGAACUUUCCAGAGAUGGAUUGGUGCCUUCGGGAACUCUGACACAGGUGCUGCAUGGCCGUCGUCAGCUCGUGUCGUGAGAUGUUGGGUUAAGU
rnacentral:rRNA from 12 species